GACGAACGCUGGCGGCGUGCUUAACGCAUGCAAGUCGAACGGAAAGGCCCCUUCGGGGGUACUCGAGUGGCGAACGGGGGAGUAACACGUGAGUAACCUGCCCUUGACUUCGGGAUAACUGCAGGAAACUGGGGCUAAUACCGGAGAGGAAUCCUUGCUGCAUGGUGGGGGUUGGAAAGCUUCGGCGGUUUUGGAUGGACUCGCGGCGUAUCAGCUUGUUGGUGGGGGAGUGGCUUACCAAGGGUUGGACGGGUAGCCGGCCUGUGAGGGCGACCGGCCACCUUCGGCCUGGGGUCCGGGCCAGGCUCCUACGGGAGGCAGCAGUGGGGAAUGUUGCACCAUGGGCGGUGGCCUAAUGCCGCAACGCCGCGUGCGGGAUGACGGACUUCGGGUUGUAGAUCGUUUUCAGCAGGGGCGAAGCUUGUGGUGACGGUACCUGCAGAAGAAGCCCCGGCUAACUACGUG
rnacentral:rRNA from 1 species